AUGUGUUUGCUGAGUUUGUUUGUGUCAAAUGUACGGCGGCUCAAUGAGUUUGUAUCACUGUGGUACACGUUCGGUGGAGGAACCAGACUGGAUGUUGGAAGUGAUGUCCGUCCCACCCUGACGGUGCUGCCCCCCUCCAGUAAGGAGCUGCAGCAGGGGAAGGCCACGCUCAUGUGUCUGGCCAACAAGGGCUUCCCCUCAGACUGGAGUCUGUCCUGGAAGGUGGACGGCAGCAGCAGCAGCAGCAGCAGCAGCUGGGAGCAGAGCAGGAGCCCCGGGGUGCUGAAGGACGGCCACUACAGCUGGAGCAGCACCCUGAGGCUCUCUGCAGACCACUGGAGGAAGGUGGGCUCUGUGACCUGUGAGGCCACCCAGGGCUCCCAGACUCCGCUCUCAGAGACACUGAGGAGAGACAAGUGUUCCCAGUUCUGACCUGACUCACUGGGACUACUACUACUGGUUUUACUCUGCUACUGCUCUCUGCCUUUUUCUUUUUCUCAUGACAUAUUUGAACAAUAAUGUGUUUUCAGCUCAAUAAUAUUCCUAUGAGACAGUACAACUUCACCAAAGGACUCGACAUGAAAAGUCAGCAGAAUUAACACAUUGUCAUCUUUCACUGCUUGCUGUAAUAUUGAUGUUCCAUUAAAGAAUAAAAAUAUAUUCAUCAGAUCAAA